UCUCCGUUGGUGAACCAGCGGAGGGAUCAUUACUGGAAUCGCAAGAUCCCACAACCCUGUGAACCUACCGAAACGUUGCCUCGGCGGGUGCCCGGCCCCCGCGCCGGGCGCGGCGCCCGCCGGCGGCCCCCUACUCUGUCUCUGCAGCGUGGCAUCUCAGAGUCCCAGAAAACAAGUCAAAACUUUCAACAACGGAUCUCUUGGCUCUA
rnacentral:misc_RNA from 1 species